CUACUGACGACAUUCUAUACGGGCAGACUACAGGCUACAUACUAUACUGGCAGACUACAUACUAUACUGGCAGACUACAGGCUUCAUACUAUACUGGCAGACUACAGACUAUACUGGCAGACUACAGGCUACAUACUAUACUGGCAGACGACAUACUAUACUGGCAGACUACAGACGACAAUCUAUACUGGCAGACUACAGGUUACAUACUUACUGGCAGACUACAUACUAUACUGGCAGACUACAGGCUACAUACUAUACUGGCAGACUACAUACUAUACUGGCAGACUACAGGCUACAUAGUAUAUUGGCAGACUACAGAUGACAUACUGUACUGGCAGACUACAUACAUACUGGCGGACUACAUACUAUACUGGCAGACUACAGGCUACAUACUAUACUGGCCGACUACAGACGACAU
rnacentral:lncRNA from 1 species